AGGCAGGCAGAGACAGACAGACAGAGGCAGGCAGGGACAGACAGACAGACAGACAGAGGCAGGCAGAGAGAGAGAGACAGACAGACAGAGGCAGGCAGGGACAGACAGACAGACAGACAGAGGCAGGCAGAGAGAGAGAGACAGACACACAGAGGCAGGCAGAGAGGGGCAGGCGGAGGGAGAGAGAGGGAGGGGCAGGCGGAGGGCGAGAGACAGAGAUGGUACCUGGUAUUCUCCCAGGGCCGGACAAUCCCAAAAUGUGUGUAGCAUAGUGUCUGUCUGUGUUUUGCAUCUCCAGCAUAGCUCCGAUGCCUCCUUAUAGAUUCGCGAUAACUUGUAUGGCACCAGGUACCAUCUCAUGGUGAUUUUACAGAAGGUUUCCCAGAGUGAUAAGCUCCUUGAGGCUCAUUUAGUAAUUGACAUAGCUUCGUGCCAAUGUGACAUAGGUAGCUCAUACCCAAUCUCCUUCUCCCAUUGGAUCAUAUAGGGCAUUUUGUCUUUUGCAGAGACAGAGACACAGGCAGGCAGAGACACACACACAGACAGAGAGACACAGACACGCACAGGCAGGCAGAGAGAGACACACACACACAGGCAGGCAGAGAGAGACAGACACACAGGCAGGCAGAGAGAGACAGACACACACAGGCAGGCAGAGAGAGACAGACACACACAGAGGCAGGCAGAGAGAGACAGACACACACAGUGGCAGGCAGAGAGAGACAGACAUACACAGAGGCAGGCAGAGAGAGACAGACAUACACAGAGGCAGGCAGAGAGAGACACAGACAUACACAGAGGCAGGCAGAGAGAGACACAGACACACACAGAGGCAGGCAGAGAGAGACACAGACACACACAGAGGCAGGCAGAGAGACACAGACACACACAGAGGCAGGCAGACAGAGACACAGACACACACAGAGGCAGGCAGACACAGACACA